UAAUCUGUUUGGGGCAAAUCCUCAUCUAGUUGUGGCAGACCCUCACCUGACUGCUUAGAAUCACUCGUUAUCACAAGCCCAACUACAUCAUUCCCCCUGGUUGGAUAGGACUCGUCCUCGAGUUUUGUUCCUUCUUUAAAUAAGAAG
rfam:Populus trichocarpa scaffold_3_contig_162, whole genome shotgun sequence.